AUGAGCACGUCCUCGCAAGCCCCUUCGCAGCCCGACACUCACGAGCCACGGCGCCACGCAAGGCUUUGGCGCGCGAUCAUGCAGCCCGCGGUCGGCACGGGCGUGAUGGACAUAGACCUCGGCGCGGCCCGGGCGGCGCGGGUGCUGGGCCGCGGCGCAAUGGGCACGGUGUUCCUGGUCGCCGCCGCCGGCGCCGAGGCCGAGGCCGGGUACGCGCUCAAGGUCUUCGACAAGCGCUCCCACGCGGCGGCGCCGCCCGGGCGCGCGGAGGACGCCGCGCGGCGCGCGCGCUGGGAGGUGUCCGUGCUGUCCUGGCUCGCGCACCCGCACCUGCCGUCGCUGCUGGGCCGCGCCGAGACGCCCGACCUGCUCGCCUGGGCCAUGCCCUACUGCGCCGGGGGCGACCUCAACGAGCUCCGCCGCGCGCAGCCCGACCGCGUCUUCUCCCCCGCCGCCGUCAGGUUCUACGCCGCCGAGCUCGUCUCCGCGCUCGCCGACCUCCACGCCGCCGGGAUCGCAUACCGCGACCUCAAGCCCGAGAACGUGCUCCUCCGCGCCGACGGCCACGUCACCCUCACCGACUUUGACCUCUCCCGGCUGCUCCCGCCCAAGUCCCCUUCCGCCUCCACGUGCACCUCCGCCUCGUCGCCGUGCUCGUCGGCUACGCCGUCGCCGACGGCGCCGAAGCCCCAGGGGCGACACUACCGCCACCUGCGCCGAAUCUUCGCGAGAAGCGAGUCCUCGGUGGCGGCGUCGUCCGGGCAGGAACCCCACAACCUGGCAUGGUACCUUAACAGAAGCGACGGCGGCGACGACAAGCUCAAGAAGGCCAAGUCCGCCAGGGCGUCGACGCCGUUGAGCCGCGGCAAGAACCACGCGAGCUUCCGCUCGGCCGCGAGCGGCGGCGUCGCGUGCGAGAGGUCCUUCUCGUUCGUGGGCACGGAGGAGUACGUGGCGCCGGAGGUGGUGAGGGGCGACGGCCACGAGUUCUCCGUCGACUGGUGGGCGCUCGGGGUGCUCGUGUACGAGAUGGCGUUCGGGAGGACGCCGUUCCGCGGCCGGAACCGGAAGGAGACGUUCCGGAACGUGCUGCUCCGGGAGCCCGAGUUCUCGGCCGACGUCGGGCGGCGGUGGCCGGACCUCACCGACCUCAUCGCGCGCCUGCUGGAUAAGGACCCCGCGAGAAGGCUGGGCUUUUCCGGUGGCGCCGACGAGGUCAGGGCGCACCCGUUCUUCGCCGGGGUGGCGUGGGACUUGCUAGGGGAGGUGUCCCGGCCGCCGUACAUCCCACCGCCGGCCGAUGACAUUGUGGCGUGCGAGGGAUUCGGCGUGGUAGAUUACUUCCAGAAGCUUCACCAGCCUCCACCGCAGCCGGACGGAUCGCCAGAGUCCUUGCCAGAGUUCUGA
rnacentral:rRNA from 1 species